GUGGGGAAUAUUGGGCAAUGGGGGAAACCCUGACCCAGCGACGCCGCGUGAGUGAUGAAGGCCUUCGGGUCGUAAAGCUCUGUCAUCGGGGACGAACGGCCUCAGCAGGUAAUGGCUGGGGAUUGACGGUACCCGAGAAGGAAGCCACGGCUAACUACGUGCCAGCAGCCGCGGUAAUACGUAGGUGGCAAGCGUUGUCCGGAAUUAUUGGGCGUAAAGCGCGCGCAGGUGGGAUCUUAAGUCCAUUUUGAAAGUUCGGAGCUCAACUCCGUGAUGGGAUGGAAACUGGGAGUCUUGAGUACCGGAGAGGAAAGCGGAAUUCCCCGUGUAGCGGUGAAAUGCGUAGAUAUGGGGAGGAACACCAGUGGCGAAGGCGGCUUUCUGGACGGUGUCUGACACUGAGGCGCGAAAGCCAGGGGAGCGAACGGGAUUAGAAACCCGUGUAGUCC
rnacentral:rRNA from 1 species